rnacentral:tRNA from 2 species
GGGGGCGUAGCUCAGCCUGGGAGAGCGCUUGACUGGCAGUCAAGAGGUCAGGGGUUCGAGCCCCCUCGUCUCCA